GAUGAACGCUAGCGGCAGGCCUAAUACAUGCAAGUCGAACGGUAUUCAGAUGCUUGCAUUUGAAGAGAGUGGCGCACGGGUGCGUAACGCGUAUGAAACCUACCUUUAACAGGGGGAUAGCCUCUCGAAAGAGAGAUUAAUACCGCAUAAUAUCGGGAGUGGGCAUCCACAUUCGAUUAAAUAUUUAUAGGUUAAAGAUGGUCAUGCGUGACAUUAGCUAGUUGGAGAGGUAAUGGCUCACCAAGGCGACGAUGUCUAGGGGAUCUGAGAGGAUGGCCCCCCACACUGGUACUGAGACACGGACCAGACUCCUACGGGAGGCAGCAGUAAGGAAUAUUGGUCAAUGGACGGAAGUCUGAACCAGCCAUGCCGCGUGCAAGAAGAAGGCCCUACGGGUUGUAAAUUGCUUUUAAUCGAGAAUAACAGUAACUACGUGUAGUUGUAUGAAAGUAUCGAUAGAAUAAGGAUCGGCUAACUCCGUGCCAGCAGCCGCGGUAAUACGGAGGAUCCGAGCGUUAUCCGGAUUUAUUGGGUUUAAAGGGUGCGUAGGCGGCCUAUUAAGUCAGGGGUGAAAACUUGCAGCUUAACUGUAAGCGUGCCUUUGAUACUGAUGGGCUUGAAUUAAGAUGAAGUAGGCGGAAUGU
rnacentral:rRNA from 1 species